CCGCGUGCGGGAUGACGGCCUUCGGGUUGUAAACCGCUUUCAGCAGGGACGAAGGGUCACCUUGACGGUACCUGCAGAAGAAGCACCGGCUAACUACGUGCCAGCAGCCGCGGUGAUACGUAGGGUGCGAGCGUUGUCCGGAAUUAUUGGGCGUAAAGAGCUUGUAGGCGGUCUGUUGCGUCGGAAGUGAAAACUCAGGGCUUAACCCUGAGCCUGCUUUCGAUACGGGCAGACUUGAGGGAUGUAGGGGAGAACGGAAUUCCUGGUGGAGCGGUGGAAUGCGCAGAUAUCAGGAGGAACACCAGUGGCGAAGGCGGUUCUCUGGACAUUUCCUGACGCUGAGAAGCGAAAGCGUGGGGAGCAAACAGGCUUAGAUACCCUGGUAGUCCACGCCGUAAACGGUGGGCACUAGGUGUGGGUUCCAUUCCACGGAAUCCGUGCCGAAGCUAACGCAUUAAGUGCCCCG
rnacentral:rRNA from 1 species